rnacentral:rRNA from 1 species
GCUGGCGGCGUUCCUAAUACAUGCAAGUCGAGCGAACAGAUGAGAAGCUUGCUUCUCUGAUGUUAGCGGCGGACGGGUGAGUAACACGUGGGUAACCUACCUAUAAGACUGGGAUAACUCCGGGAAACCGGGGCUAAUACCGGAUAAUAUUUUGAACCGCAUGGUUCAAUAGUGAAAGACGGUUUCGGCUGUCACUUAUAGAUGGACCCGCGCCGUAUUAGCUAGUUGGUAAGGUAAUGGCUUACCAAGGCGACGAUACGUAGCCGACCUGAGAGGGUGAUCGGCCACACUGGAACUGAGACACGGUCCAGACUCCUACGGGAGGCAGCAGUAGGGAAUCUUCCGCAAUGGGCGAAAGCCUGACGGAGCAACGCCGCGUGAGUGAUGAAGGUCUUCGGAUCGUAAAACUCUGUUGUUAGGGAAGAACAAAUUUGUUAGUAACUGAACAAGUCUUGACGGUACCUAACCAGAAAGCCACGGCUAACUACGUGCCAGCAGCCGCGGUAAUACGUAGGUGGCAAGCGUUAUCCGGAAUUAUUGGGCGUAAAGCGCGCGUAGGCGGUUUCUUAAGUCUGAUGUGAAAGCCCACGGCUCAACCGUGGAGGGUCAUUGGAAACUGGGAAACUUGAGUGCAGAAGAGGAGAGUGGAAUUCCAUGUGUAGCGGUGAAAUGCGCAGAGAUAUGGAGGAACACCAGUGGCGAAGGCGGCUCUCUGGUCUGUAACUGACGCUGAUGUGCGAAAGCGUGGGGAUCAAACAGGAUUAGAUACCCUGGUAGUCCACGCCGUAAACGAUGAGUGCUAAGUGUUAGGGGGUUUCCGCCCCUUAGUGCUGCAGCUAACGCAUUAAGCACUCCGCCUGGGGAGUACGACCGCAAGGUUGAAACUCAAAGGAAUUGACGGGGACCCGCACAAGCGGUGGAGCAUGUGGUUUAAUUCGAAGCAACGCGAAGAACCUUACCAAAUCUUGACAUCCUUUGACCGCUCUAGAGAUAGAGUCUUCCCCUUCGGGGGACAAAGUGACAGGUGGUGCAUGGUUGUCGUCAGCUCGUGUCGUGAGAUGUUGGGUUAAGUCCCGCAACGAGCGCAACCCUUAAGCUUAGUUGCCAUCAUUAAGUUGGGCACUCUAGGUUGACUGCCGGUGACAAACCGGAGGAAGGUGGGGAUGACGUCAAAUCAUCAUGCCCCUUAUGAUUUGGGCUACACACGUGCUACAAUGGAUAAUACAAAGGGCAGCGAAUCCGCGAGGCCAAGCAAAUCCCAUAAAAUUAUUCUCAGUUCGGAUUGUAGUCUGCAACUCGACUACAUGAAGCUGGAAUCGCUAGUAAUCGUAGAUCAGCAUGCUACGGUGAAUACGUUCCCGGGUCUUGUACACACCGCCCGUCACACCACGAGAGUUUGUAACACCCGAAGCCGGUGGAGUAACCUUUUAGGAGCUAGCCGUCGAAGGUGGGACAAAUGAUUGG